rnacentral:rRNA from 1 species
UACGGAGGGGGCUAGCGUUAUUCGGAUUCACUGGGCGUAAAGGGCGCGUAGGCGGCCUGCUAAGUCGGAUGUGAAAUCCCUCGGCUCAACCGAGGAACUGCAUCCGAUACUGGCGGGCUUGAAUCCGGGAGAGGGAUGUGGAAUUCCAGGUGUAGCGGUGAAAUGCGUAGAUAUCUGGAGGAACACCGAUGGCGAAGGCAGGUCACUGGGCCGCAACUGACGCUGAGGAGGCGAAAGCAUGGGGAGCGAACAGG